rnacentral:lncRNA from 1 species
UUUUUAAUUACCUUGUGUUUGUAACAGGAUUUUGCAGAAUUAAAAAACAAACAAACCAAAACACCAGAGGCUAUCCAGGAAACAUCUUUUUCUCACAUCCCGCUCCCUGGAGUGUCUUCACCUGAAGACGUACCUUGGCAGACCACGUAGGACCACAUUUGGGUGGCGGCAGAUAUGGAUUCCAGUCCACAUCUGUAGAGAAGGAAGGGGCUUAUGGGCUCCUGCGUAUCGGGGAAGCAUACUUAUGUCUAGCAUAUAGGAACCAGCCGUUUAUUCUCAAGUAAUGGUACCCAAGCCACUGGAAAUAUUUGUAUUGCUUUGAGGGGCUCAUAUCUUUUGUUAUGUUUUGCCCUGAUUUGUGAAAUGGUAGUUUUCAGCAAACAAAUGAUUUGCUAACCAAAAAAUAAAAAUAGAGCU